ensembl:lncRNA
GAGAAAAUAGUCUAUUAUUUCAUUUUAUUAUUAUUAUUAUUAUUAUUAUUUUACUAUUUAUAUUUUUACUUUUUUCGAGAUUAAUAGACUGAUUGUCAUUUCUUUGUAACUGUGAAAUUUACUUGUAAUGUCUGAUUAAAAACUGUUUUAUAGUGGCUCACCAAUUUUUAUUUUCAUUUCUUUAUUUUUUUCAGCAUAAUACACAAGCUGGGCACACUGACCGCUGGCAGCUGGCAGGUGCUUCAGGCAGUGACCUGCUGGGUCCUGCAGACAGACAGACAGAAGACAGAAAACUUAAAUCAGCAAAGAUGUCACAUGGUCUUCAAAGCUUGACACUUCAGAGGAAAUAUUUUACAUUUUGUCUCGCAGAUUGACCCAAAACGCUAAACCAGAAUGCUAAAUCUAACUGGUGAUAUUUGCUAA